AAUCUUUAUUGGCGUCCCGCGUGAACCAGUUCAGUGUCGUUCUCGCCAGAGGCCACCAGAGUGCGCAAGAGACCGCGGGGGUGGAAAAGGCCACUCGCCAGAGAUUGCGCGCGGAAGUGGACCUCCUUUCUCGCAACGGGGUAGCGGCUCCGGGAUCCCCCCAGAACUGCUAGUCGUGUGAAGCCGUGGGAGUGGGGAAGGCUGACUUCCAUCUUAACGGCUUACUCUGGAACAUAAUGUUGAGUGAAGGCUGUCAGGAGACAAAAAGAUUGUUAUCGUGCAAGGUCCAGACACCUAACAUGACCUCAUUCGUGUUGGCUGCUGAGAUGGGUGUGUUCCUCAUGAUUCCUGGUGACAUUAAUGGAAAGUUAAAGCCAUACUUGCACUAGCCAAGUAGAAUCCUACUGUCUGCUGGAAAGCAGCUGUGGAAAAAAAAAAAAAUCAUUCACUUGUAGGACACAAGUGUGGACCACAGUAUGAGCGACUUUUACUGGUGUAGUAGGUUGAAUGGUGGCUGCCAAAAAGAUGUGUCCAAGUCCUAACUCCUGGUACCUAUGAAUAUCACCUUGUUGAAAAUAAGGCCUUUGCGGCCGAGCGCGGUGACUCACGCCUAUAAUCCCAGCACUCUGGGAGGCCGAGGCAGGCAGAUCAUCUGCUUGGGAGUGUGAGACCAGCCUGACCAACAUGGAGAAACCCCAUCUCUACUAAAAAUACAAAAU